rnacentral:rRNA from 1 species
CUCUUCCGCCAUACCUCCCCGAACACACCCAGUCUCAUCUGAUCUCAGAAGCUAAGCAGGGUCAGGCCUGGUUAGUACUUUGGUGGGAGGCA